rnacentral:tRNA from 1 species
GGUUGUGGUUUGGUGGUAGAGCGCUUGCCUAGCAUGCAUGAGGCACUGGGUUCAAUCCCCAACGCCA